rnacentral:rRNA from 1 species
AUGAGAAAGAGCAUCAGGGAAGAAAAGAUGUACGGGAGGAAAGAGAGGGACGGCCUGGGUGCUGGUCUUGGUCGCCGGCGGCAGGGUCCUUGUAGGUGCGGUCGGCGGACAGAGAAGCUCCGGCGGGGAUGGACGAACAGGAGGCACGGGACCUCUCGGCUCCAUGGAGGUGCGGACGGAGAAAAGAAGCGGCGCUGGCCUCCGAUGACUGCUGCUGCUUGCAGCGGCGCUCGAGACAAGCCCUUGGGCACGAGGUUGUGUAGCAGGAGGGAGGAGACUGCGGCUCUCUGUUGCGGGAAUGGGCGGCUGGAUGGAUCUCAAAGGAGCCGGGGUUGGCUCGAUGGAGGAUCCGAGGGAGAGUGGGUGAAAUAUUUGGAUCUGGCUGGUGGUGUGUGGUUGGCUCGAUGUGGACUUCGAGGAGGAUUUGGAGAGAGGGUGGCGGCGGAAGAAGUGGAUGGUUGGGACAACUCUCCUCAAAAUUAG